UAUACGUAGUAUUGAUUAGAAUUUUUUACUAUGCCAUUUUAUUUUAUUUGCUAUACGUAUUCCUACACAAUUCUAGAACCCUCCUCUGCUUUCAAAACGUAUUUUCUUCAUCUUCACACUUGGACCUGCUACUCCUCUUUCAUUUACAUUGAUCUUCUAGCUGGGUCUCUCAAUUUCAGGUAAGGGAAUCCUUAAUUUUUGCUUUAAUAUUCGUCUUCGGUGGUUACGUUAUAACUUCACGUCUGAUCAUCUGUCAAUUUUUGUCCAGAUCUUAUCCGUUCUUCUUGUUUUCUCCUUGAUUUUUUUGGUUCUCUUCGGUCUUCCCAAAUUCAUGGCUCGNNNNNNNNNNNNNNNNNNNNNNNNNUAUUGUUCAAAAAUCUUAAUAUAUUUUUAAAAUUUAUAAUGAUACCUAAUUCAAAACUCUUUUACAAACUAAAAAUUAACAAUGUGUUCUAUUUGCUAUCCAUUCAUUUCAUAUCAAACUUGUUUUCUUACAAAUUAACCUGUUCAAACUUAUAAAAUUAUGCGAUAAAUGAAUUCAAAUAGACACCAUGGCCCAUUCUAUUAUUAAUAAUGCAGGAACGCGGAACAGAAACAUAGGAUUUAAUCAUUUUUUUUAAUUUUAUAAAUUGAGUGAAGUGAAUACCCAAGUUGGACAAUUUUGUGACAAAAGGGAAGCUAAAAACGUUCUUCAAUUACGAAAAUACAACCCCAUGAUUUGUUAUUAUGCCACCAAUAAAAGAUAAAACUACUCUAAAAGAAAUACAAGAGUCCAAAACACUUUUUAACUAGAAUGAGUAGGAACAAAUAUUGUAUUUUUGAAGUUACAGUAAAAUAUCAUACAACUUAGAUCACCAAAAAUUUGAAUGAAUAACAAAAAAAAAAAAAUCAAAUCUGCAAUAUAGUGAUUGGGCAUGGGCCAGUCUUUACUAGUUUAUAUAGAAAAGCUAAGAAUGGUCGACCAAGGGCGAAUUUGUCAUUCUACUAUGCCAUUUUAUUUUAUUUUUUAUACGUAUUCCUACACAAUUCUAGAACCCUCCUCUGCUUUCGAAACGUAUUUUCUGCAUCUUCACACUUGGACCUGCUACUCCUCUUUCAUUUACAUUGAUCUUCUAGCUGGGUCUCUCAAUUUCAGGUAAGGGAAUCUUUAAUUUUUGCUUUAAUAUUCGUCUUCGGUGGUUACGUUAUAACUUCACGUCUGAUCAUCUGUCAAUUUUUGUCCAGAUCUUAUCCGUUCUUCUUGUUUUCUCCUUGAUUUUUUGGUUCUCUUCGGUCUUCCCAAAUUCAUGGCUGGUAUCAUUCUAUUUUUCAUGGUAGUAAUUUCAUUUGCUUUCCCCUUUUUUUUUUUUUUUGAAUUUCAAAAAAUGUCCCUUUAAAUUCUAUUAUAUUGCGAACAAAUUCAUGAUAUACAUAAGCGAACGAAUUCAUGACUCUUUGGCGCAAAGCCAGGAGCUCUUCACCGGAGGUGGUACUUUUUCUAUUAGUUUAUAAUGAUGAAUUUCCGCAUUCCAAGUGUUAAAAACUUGGAGCAAAUAGAAACUGAUAUAAAAAAUAAGGAUGCUAAGACAUUGGAAAUAUCCAAUUCUAGGCACACAUUCGAAAUGUCGGCCGAAAAAAUUGAAUUUAUUUAGAAUCAAAGAUUUCAAAUGUAUUAAAAAUAAAUUAUACUUGUAAAUUGGGGUACAUUUUUAUCUUUCUCCAGCCUUAUUUGUUGUACUUAUUUAUUAUUAAUACUUUAUUUUUGUUCAUUUUCUCUUCUCUAUUAUAGUUAUUUUACUCUCUGUAGUGUUAAUUUUCUAUUGCUGUGUUUGUAUAGUAUUUCAAAGUGUGAGUAGAAAGUUCAUUUCUUAUUGUAGUCGAGUACUAAAAUCGGGCUUAGUUCCUACUUCCUAGGAAGGGUAUGUGAUUUGCAAAUGCAACCCUCCUGCUUGCUUAUGAUUUUAAGUUUGAGGACAAGCAUUUGAAAAUUUGCAUCGUAAAAUUUUAUUGUCAUAGCAUUAGCAGAGGAGGAGAUUGAGGAUAGCAUUAGCCUUAUUUCUAUCUGCUUGCUGAGUUAAUAUCACAGAUGUUAAUAACUUAAUAUAAGAUAGCUUAUCCUUUCAUCUUUGGUGUCUGAACAUUUUACGGAGGUAAGAUCUACUCCUUUUACUAAGUAUUAUAAAUUCCUUCAAUAAAAUUAGCUUAAGGAUGUUGAUAAAAGAAUAAGCUAAGGGCUAAAAAAUGUGCAGAUCCUUUGGGAGGAGGAAUAGCAGAUAACGGUUGUAGGAUCUUUUUUUGACAUGUUUUCUCUUGAGUUGCAGAAGUCAUAUAGGUCCUUGAGCUAGGAGCCUAGGACCUAGCCAACAUAAUCAAAAUCAAGCUCUCAUAUUCUUUCAUGUAAAAGAAACUGAUUUUCUUGUUUGCUGUUUUUGUAUUUGCAUGUUCUAUUGCCUCUUUUUCCUGAACUAAAAUUUCACUUUCUCAUGCAUGUUCCAAUAUGAAAGCUGAGAUCUACAAAAACUACAGUUCACUCCAGAUCUGCAUGAUUAGUGAAUUAGGGGAUUGAUAGCCCGUUUGGCCAAGCUUCUAAAAUCAACUUAUUUUGAGAAGUGCUUUUCUCAAAAGUACUUUUUAAAAAAGUGUUUUUGGUGAGAAGCAGUUUGUGUUUGACUAAUUAAUUUGAAAAGCACUUUUGAGCAGUAAUUAGUGUUUGGCCAAGUUUUUGAAAACUGCUUCUAAGUGUAUUUUUCUCAAAAGUGCUUUUGGAGAGAAGCUACUUUUUUCUGCUUCUCCAAAACUGCUUUUCCUUUUCCUCAAAAACACUUUUUUUCCUUCCAAAAGCU
rnacentral:lncRNA from 1 species